GAGUUUGAUCCUGGCUCAGAUUGAACGCUGGCGGAAUGCUUUACACAUGCAAGUCGAGCGGCAGCGCGGGGCAACCUGGCGGCGAGCGGCGAACGGGUGAGUAAUGCAUCGGAACAUGUCCAUGUCGUGGGGGAUAGCCCGGCGAAAGCCGGAUUAAUACCGCAUACGCCCGAGAGGGGAAAGCAGGGGACCGCAAGGCCUUGCGCGAUUGGGUUGGCCGAUGUCCGAUUAGCUUGUUGGUGAGGUAAAGGCUUACCAAGGCGAUGAUCGGUAGCUGGUCUGAGAGGAUGAUCAGCCACACUGGGACUGAGACACGGCCCAGACUCCUACGGGAGGCAGCAGUGGGGAAUUUUGGACAAUGGGGGCAACCCUGAUCCAGCCAUUCCGCGUGAGUGAAGAAGGCCUUCGGGUUGUAAAGCUCUUUUGUCCGGAGCGAAACGGGCGGCCCUAAUACGGUCGUCUACUGACGGUACCGGAAGAAUAAGCACCGGCUAACUACGUGCCAGCAGCCGCGGUAA
rnacentral:rRNA from 1 species